AGAAAAGCGAAACUCGGCGUGGUAGCUCAAAACGAAGAUUUUGUGUAGCACAUAAAUUUGUAUAAGCAAUGAAGAUGCUACGUUGGUUAUUGAUAACAAUCCUAUGGUCACGUGUCUCCCAGUUGAAUGGACUCAAACUUCAAGGUAUUCGUCUAACUGGAGGGUGGACACCUAAUCAAGGAUACAUAGAAGUAAAAAUUGAAGGUCGCUGGGGCAAGAUUUGUGCUAAAUCCUGGAGCGUUAAAGAAUCAAGAAUAGCAUGUAAUAUGCUCGGCAUGACUGGUAAAGCAAGUCCAUGGUCUCCCCCGUUGAUAGCAAACCUGGAAGUAAUCCUGUCUCUAAAGGAGUGUCACGGCAAUGAAUCUUCGCUUGCAGACUGUCAACCCCAAGAUCUACGAUUUCGGCAAAUUCCACAUAUAAAAUCUUUUCUUCAUUUGCUAAACCGUAAAUUUAUUUGUACUUCGUUAGAAAAAUGUAAACAAAUAUUUCAUCUAAAGGAAUAC